UACGUAGGGGGCAAGCGUUGUCCGGAUUUAUUGGGCGUAAAGAGCGUGUAGGCGGCCAGGUAGGUCCGCUGUGAAAACCCGAGGCUCAACCUCGAGAUGUCGGCGGAAACCAUCUGGCUAGAGUCCGGAAGAGGAGAGUGGAAUUCCUGGUGUAGCGGUGAAAUGCGCAGAUAUCAGGAAGAACACCCGUGGCGAAGGCGGCUCUCUGGGACGGUACUGACGCUGAGACGCGAAAGCGUGGGGAGCGAACAGG
rnacentral:rRNA from 1 species